rnacentral:rRNA from 2 species
AAGUCGUAACAAGGUUUCCGUAGGUGAACCUGCGGAAGGAUCAUUACAAGUGAGGCUACCGAACGUUGGAAACAGCGGUUAGGAGCUUACACCCACCCGUGUUUACAUACUAUUGUUGCUUUGGCGGGCCGUGGCCUCCACUGCGGGCUCUGCUCGUGUGUGCCCGCCAGAGAACCAAACUCUGAAUGUUAGUGAUGUCUGAGUACUAUCUAAUAGUUAAAACUUUCAACAACGGAUCUCUUGGUUCUGGCAUCGAUGAAGAACGCAGCGAAAUGCGAUAAGUAAUGUGAAUUGCAGAAUUCAGUGAAUCAUCGAAUCUUUGAACGCACAUUGCGCCCUGUGGUAUUCCGCAGGGCAUGCCUGUUCGAGCGUCAUUUAACCACUCACGCCUAGCGUGGUAUUGGGGCACGCGGUCUCCGCGGCCCUCAAAAUUAGUGGCGGCGCCGGUGGGCUCUAAGCGUAGUACAUACUCCCGCUAUAGAGUUCCCCCCGGUGGCUCGCCAGAACCCCCAAUUUUUUACAGGUUGACCUCGGAUCAGGUAGGGAUACCCGCUGAACUUAA